UGGGGAAUUUUGGACAAUGGGCGAAAGCCUGAUCCAGCAAUGCCGCGUGUGUGAAGAAGGCCUUCGGGUUGUAAAGCACUUUUGUCCGGAAAGAAAUGGCUCUGGUUAAUACCUGGGGUCGAUGACGGUACCGGAAGAAUAAGGACCGGCUAACUACGUGCCAGCAGCCGCGGUAAUACGUAGGGUCCAAGCGUUAAUCGGAAUUACUGGGCGUAAAGCGUGCGCAGGCGGUUGUGCAAGACCGAUGUGAAAUCCCCGAGCUUAACUUGGGAAUUGCAUUGGUGACUGCACGGCUAGAGUGUGUCAGAGGGGGGUAGAAUUCCACGUGUAGCAGUGAAAUGCGUAGAGAUGUGGAGGAAUACCGAUGGCGAAGGCAGCCCCUGGGAUAACACUGACGCUCAUGCACGAAAGCGUGGGGAGCAAACAGGAUUAGAUACCCUGGUAGUCCACGCCCUAAACGAUGUCAACUAGUUGUUGGGAAUUCAUUUCCUUAGUAACGUAGCUAACGCGUGAAGUUGACCGCCUGGGGAGUACGGUCGCAAGAUUAAAAGCUC
rnacentral:rRNA from 1 species